rnacentral:rRNA from 1 species
UGGGGAAUAUUGGACAAUGGGCGAAAGCCUGAUCCAGCCAUGCCGCGUGAGUGACGAAGGCCUUCGGGUUGUAAAGCACUUUCAGCGAGGAAGAACGCCUAACGGUUAAUACCCGCUAGGAAAGACAUCACUCGCAGAAGAAGCACCGGCUAACUCCGUGCCAGCAGCCGCGGUAAUACGGAGGGUGCAAGCGUUAAUCGGAAUUACUGGGCGUAAAGCGCGCGUAGGUGGCUUGAUAAGCCGGUUGUGAAAGCCCCGGGCUCAACCUGGGAACGGCAUCCGGAACUGUCAAGCUAGAGUGCAGGAGAGGAAGGUAGAAUUCCCGGUGUAGCGGUGAAAUGCGUAUAGAUCGGGAGGAAUACCAGUGGCGAAGGCGGCCUUCUGGACUGACACUGACACUGAGGUGCGAAAGCGUGGGUAGCAAACAGGAUUAGAUACCCGAGUAGUCCCUGAGCGGGCUGGCAAGGCGCAU